AUACGGAGGGUCCAAGCGUUAUCCGGAAUCAUUGGGGUUAAAGGGUCCGCAGGCGGUCAAUUAAGUCAGAGGUGAAAGCCCAUCGCUCAACGAUGGAACUGCCUUUGAUACUGGUUGACUUGAGUUAUACGGAAGUAGAUAGAAUAAGUAGUGUAGCGGUGAAAUGCAUAGAUAUUACUUAGAAUACCGAUUGCGAAGGCAGUCUACUACGUAUAUACUGACGCUGAGGGACGAAAGCGUGGGGAGCGAACAGGAUUAGAUACCCUAGUAGUCC
rnacentral:rRNA from 1 species